rnacentral:rRNA from 1 species
AGUGAACGCUGGCGGUAGGCCUAACACAUGCAAGUCGAACGGCAGCACAGUAAGAGCUUGCUCUUACGGGUGGCGGGUGGCGGACGGGGGAGGAAUACAUCGGAAUCUACUUUUUCGUGGGGGAUAACGUAGGGAAACUUACGCUAAUACCGCAUACGACCUACGGGUGAAAGCAGGGGAUCUUCGGACCUUGCGCGAUUGAAUGAGCCGAUGUCGGAUUAGCUAGUUGGCGGGGUAAAGGCCCACCAAGGCGACGAUCCGUAGCUGGUCUGAGAGGAUGAUCAGCCACACUGGAACUGAGACACGGUCCAGACUCCUACGGGAGGCAGCAGUGGGGAAUAUUGGACAAUGGGCGCAAGCCUGAUCCAGCCAUACCGCGUGGGUGAAGAAGGCCUUCGGGUUGUAAAGCCCUUUUGUUGGGAAAGAAAAGCAGCAGGUUAAUACCCCGCUGUUCUGACGGUACCCAAAGAAUAAGCACCGGCUAACUUCGUG